GAAGCCUAUCCAGCAAUGCCGCGUGAGUGAAGAAGGCCUUCGGGUUGUAAAGCUCUUUUACCCGGGAAGAUAAUGACCGUACCGGGAGAAUAAGCCCCGGCUAACUCCGUGCCAGCAGCCGCGGUAAUACGGAGGGGGCUAGCGUUGUUCGGAAUCACUGGGCGUAAAGCGUGCGUAGGCGGCCAUUCAAGUCAGAGGUGAAAGCCCAGGGCUCAACCCUGGAACUGCCUUUGAAACUAGAUGGCUGGAACACGGGAGAGGUGAGUGGAAUUCCGAGUGUAGAGGUGAAAUUCGUAGAUAUUCGGAAGAACACCAGUGGCGAAGGCGGCUCACUGGACCGUUGUUGACGCUUGAGGCACGAAAGCGUGGGGAGCAAACAGGAUUAGAUACCCUGGUAGUCCACGCCGUAAACGAUGAUAACUAGCUGUUGGGGCUCUUGGAGCUCCAGUGGCGCAGCUAACGCAUUAAGUUA
rnacentral:rRNA from 1 species